UGCCGGGUCGUCUAAUGGUAGGACAAUGGGUUUUGGACCCGUCAAUGCUGGUUCGAUUCCAGCUCCGGCAGCCA
rnacentral:tRNA from 1 species